ensembl:lncRNA
GUAAAACCCUCCUCAGUUUCAUCAUACACUCUUGAUGUUGACUUGGGUACAGAGAUCGUCUUUCAGAAUAUCCUCAUCUUCAAGUAGAAACCUGUGUAAACAGAAGGCCAGCUUUCUUCAUUGCUCUUCAGAAACGGGUCUUAUGCUGCUUGUAGCCGGGUGAAAACAUUUCCUUUGGUCCAAUUGUACCAUUCACAGUCCAAACCUAAGGAGACCAUUAAAGAGCCACAACUAAUGAAAAGGCAGAGAACUGACCGUGGGGGGCCCAGCCAAACUGAAGAAACACACUCCGGUACUCUGGGCUUAAGGAACAUCAUGUAAGAAUGGA